rnacentral:snoRNA from 1 species
UCCAGUGGUAGUCAGCUAUCCAGGACAUUGCCAUUCCUGUGAUAGUGUUACACUACUGGUAGAUUAAUAGACUGUCCUUUUGACCUGGUUACCACCUUCACUGUUCUAGUGAUUCCUGGUAUCAGGGCAGACAGAAGGGGACUGUGCUUCCUCGAGAGUGUGCUGAGCAGGGAUUUUGACUAUUCAGUGUUAGUGUGGAAGCAGACAUA